AGCGCUGAGGAGGGCACAGGGGACAUGCCUGACUCCGUCUGGGUGCCAGGCCCAGAGCCGGGCAUUUCCCAUAGUCAUCGGCCCCCUGCCCGCCCCCAGCAUGUCGAGGAAGGGAGGAGUAUUUUUAGUUCCAUCUUGAAGACGGGCACAGGAACGGAGAAUAACUGCCUGAAAGCACUGUCCCUGGUCUGAGCGGCCCUUGGAAAGGCUCAGCCUGGCCCAGGCCUUGCUGCUUCCCAUAACAGUUACAAGCACUGGCUCUGCCAUCGGAGAUGAAAGGGUACACGUGGGGUUCUCCGACCUUCCAGCCGUGUGACCUCGGACUAGACCUCUGUUUGCUUAGCUCCCUCCACUUGCCUUCCUCGAAUGUGGGAACCCCGGACUCUGUCUUGGAAAAGACCUGGCCUCUCCUUCUCUGGGUUGGGUCCAUCCGUGGGCUCCCGCAGAGGCCUGUGGUUGCAGAGACCGGAAGCUGCAGCUUCAGGAGGGCAUGGGACAGAAAGUCAUCCCUCCGCUCACCUGAGACAAAUACUUAUCUGAUUGUUUUCUGAUAUGAUUUGGCUCUGUGUCCCCACCCAAAUCUCAUCUUGAAUUAUAAUCCCCACGUGAUGAAGGAGGGGCCUGGAGGGAGAUGACUGGAGCAUGGGGCAGAUUUCUCCCUUGCUGUUCUCAUGAUAGUGAGUGAGUUCUCACGAGAGCUGAUGGUUUUCGAGUGUGGCACUUCCCCUGCUCCCCGCCUCCUGCCACCAUGUAAGAUGUGCCUGCCUCCACUUCCACCAUGAUGAUUCACUGAGCUACACUAAGGACUCAGGGAAAGGCUAAUCAGAGACUCAGAAGAAUGCAACUGCUUGUCUCUUAUCUACCUGCGACCUGGAAGCCUCUUACUUCGAGUUGCUCUGCCUGACUGGACUGAACCAAUGUUCAUCUUACAUAUAUUGACUGAUGUCUUACGUAUCCCUAAAAUGUAUAAAACCCAGCUGUGUCCUGAACACCUUGGGCACAUGUUAUCAGGACCUCCUGAGGCUGUGUCACAGGUGUGUCCUUAAUCUUGGCAAAAUAAACUUUCUAAAUUGACUGAGGUCUGUCUCAGAUCCUUCAGGGUCACAGCAAUCAGGGAGAGUUGUCUUCCCCAAGCCCCGAGAGACUGCAGCAGGCCGAGGCUGGGGACUGUCAGGAGCAAGAGGAGCCAAGGUGUGGAUGGAGUGAAAGGCCCAUAGGGGGACCUGUCUACGCGAUGGAUAUACCCGAGGGCUCCCCUAUCCUGCCUGUAAUUACACGAAUGUGGGGGGGACAGUGGGGACAUGAGUCCACUGCACACUUACCCACCCUGGACCAAUGCAUAGUAGGUGCUUCACACACACUUGCUGAAGGUUCAGCCCAGCCUCAUGUCCCCUAGAAAGCCCUCCCUGGUCAUUCACCCUGGAUCAACACAUAGUAGAUGCUUCACACGCACUUGUUGAAGGUUCAGCCCAGCCUCAUGUUCCCCAGAAAGCCCUCCCUGGUCAUUCAGUCUGUCAUGGAGUGAGGCGGGUCAGUUUCAUGGUCCAGGACACAGACCCCAGGGCCAGGUCUGGCAGGUUUUCAUGCGACUUGGGCUCUCCCUGGCUGAAGGGUCUCGGGCACGUGUCUUAGUCUCCUUGCAUCCUAGUUUUGUUGAAGAAAAGAGUCAACCUCUGUAAAAUAUUUGAAGAGAUUUAUUCUGAGCCAGAUAUGAGUGAUCAUGGC
rnacentral:lncRNA from 1 species